rnacentral:rRNA from 1 species
AUGAACGCUGGCGGCGUGCCUCAUACAUGCAAGUCGAGCGAACAGACGAGGAGCUUGCUCCUCUGACGUUAGCGGCGGACGGGUGAGUAACACGUGGAUAACCUACCUAUAAGACUGGGAUAACUUUGGGAAACCGGAGCUAAUACCGGAUAAUAUAUUGAACCGCAUGGUUCAAUAGUGAAAGACGGUUUUGCUGUCACUUAUAGAUGGAUCCGCGCCGCAUUAGCUAGUUGGUAAGGUAACGGCUUACCAAGGCGACGAUGCGUAGCCGACCUGAGAGGGUGAUCGGCCACACUGGAACUGAGACACGGUCCAGACUCCUACGGGAGGCAGCAGUAGGGAAUCUUCCGCAAUGGGCGAAAGCCUGACGGAGCAACGCCGCGUGAGUGAUGAAGGUCUUCGGAUCGUAAAACUCUGUUAUUAGGGAAGAACAAAUGUGUAAGUAACUAUGCACGUCUUGACGGUACCUAAUCAGAAAGCCACGGCUAACUACGUG